AGUGAACGCUGGCGGUAUGCCUAACACAUGCAAGUCGAACGGCAGCACAGUAAGAGCUUGCUCUUACGGUUGGCGAGUGGCGGACGGGUGAGGAAUACAUCGGAAUCUACUUUUUCGUGGGUAACAACGGGGGACAAGUGCUACUACUACCUAAUAUUACUAACGGGUUAAAUCAGGGGUGCUAGGCCCUUUUGCUGUCUGAUUUAGCUGGAUCCGCGUUGCAUUAGCUAGUUGGUAAGGUCACGGCUCACCAAGGCGACGAUGCAUAGCCGGCCUGAGAGGAUGAUCAGCCACACUGGAACUGAGACACGGUCCAGACUCCUACGGGAGGCAGCAGUGGGGAAUAUUGGACAAUGGGCGAAAGCCUGAUCCAGCCAUACCGCGUGGGUGAAGAAGGCCUUCGGGUUGUAAAGCCCUUUUGUUGGGGAAGAAAAGCAGCAGGUUAAUACCCCGAUGUUCUGACGGUACCCAAAGAAUAAGCACCGGCUAACUUCGUG
rnacentral:rRNA from 1 species